rnacentral:rRNA from 1 species
GAUGAACGCUGGCGGCGUGCCUGAUACAUGCAAGUCGUACGGAAAGGCCCUUCGGGGUACUCGAGUGGCGGACGGCUGAGUAACGCGUGGGAACGUGCCCCAAAGUGAGGGAUAACGCACCGAAAGGUGUGCUAAUACCGCAUAUGGUCUUCGGAUUAAAGCUUCGGCGCUUUGGGAGCGGCCCGCGUACGAUUAGAUAGUUGGUGAGGUAAUGGCUCACCAAGUCGACGAUCGUUAGCUGGUCUGAGAGGAUGAUCAGCCAGACUGGGACUGAGACACGGCCCAGACUCCUACGGGAGGCAGCAGUAAGGAAUCUUCACACAAUGGGGGCAACCCUGAUGGAGCAACGCCGCGUGCAGGAUGAAGGUUUUCGGAUCGUAAACUGCUUUUAUAAGUGAAGAAUAUGACGGUAACUUAUGAAUAAGGAUCGGCUAACUACGUGCCAGCCGCCGCCGUAA